CAGUCGCCGCGGGAAUACGAAGGGGGCUAGCGUUGUUCGGAAUUACUGGGCGUAAAGGGCGCGUAGGCGGCCAUUCAAGUUAGAUGUGAAAGCCCUGGGCUCAACCUAGGAAUUGCAUUUGAUACUGUUUGGCUUGAGUUCGGGAGAGGUGAGUGGAAUUCCCAGUGUAGAGGUGAAAUUCGUAGAUAUUGGGAAGGACACCAGUGGCGAAGGCGGCUCACUGGACCGAUACUGACGCUGAGGCACGAAAGCGUGGGGAGCAAACAGGAUUAGAUACCCCAGUAGUCCCUGUCUCUUAUAC
rnacentral:rRNA from 1 species